AAUGAUAAACAUCUGAAAAAGUGGUUCAGAGUAGAAUAAAAUAUUUCUAUUGGAUUAUAAAUGAAGGCACCUAAUUCAUUCAGGAUCAGCAAGACCUUGCUAGUAACAUUUGUUGCAUGGUAAGAAAAUAAACAAUAAUCCAAACCUCAAUUUGAGACCCCUACACAAAAGAUGUGUCUGUGAGUUUGUACCUACCAGCCUUGCUAUUCCUGACCUUUAAAUGAGGGAUGGAGGUAGUGGAGAUGGGUAUAAUGAAGGAAUUUCCCUCAUGAAUCUUUUUGAUUUUUGAUUUUGAUUGAUGUUGGGACAAACACAGCAAAUAUAAGAGUUCUAGAUGUGAAUGAGUUUCAAUGUUUGACUCUGUGCAAUGAGGACUGAAGGAAGUGAAUUAAAUAUUUGUUUAUGGAAAGGUGACCACGUAAAAUGGAAUAUACUAAAUUUGUCAAUCAUUUCUGCAGAGGCUGAGGUAUAUAUGCAGAUAUCCCUGCACAGAUAAGCAGUAGGUAUCCUGGUGAGGCAUUCUUAUGGUACACAUUAAAUGUAUACUUUGUAUAACGGUGCUAAUUUUCAAAGUAAUAAAACAAAAAACACUCUUCCUUACUUUCCUCUGCAAAUGGCUGUUCCACAGAACAGCUUAGGUGGCUUGUAGAAUAGAAUAAUUACACCCCAAAAAGUGAAUCUAUGCUUUCUGUAACUGAACACUUUUUCCCUAAGGAGAGCUUGUAUAGGCUCAGUCAAGCUGACAGAGGUUGCACUUCAGCAUGGAAUCUUGCCAGUUUCUCUCAUUGGUUGAGGCUGUGAUUAAUACUGGCUGUCUUUGCUGCAGGAUAAUCCUUGAAUUGGCAACAUGUUCCUGUAAUUCUCAGUCAGUGACAUUUAAGAAAAGCCCUUCAUUUUCAAAAACUUCAAAACAAAAAAGGAGGCACACGUGUGUGGCAACAGAAUGAAGGAGGCAGGCAAGUGUGCACAGCGACAAAACAAGGGAGAGAGAUGCAUGCGCGUGGUGACAGGACAAGGGAAACAGCAGAAUGUGUGUGGUGACAAAACAAUGGAGGCCUUGAAAUUAAAACUAUGGGGGUGUCAAACUAAACUCUGCUCUCUCUCCACCAUGACUCUGUAUUGACUCCUCGCAGAAAUUGGUUUCUGUGAUCAUGUUAAACAGCUACAUUGCAGAGAAGCAAAACACCUUUCUCCACCACUUGGUGGGAAUAACUCAAUUUCUAAAAUUUGACAGCUACAGAUGGCUGAAAAUUGCUAGGUUUUUUUUUUGACAAGAACUUUGCAAGACUGUACAUUUAUUUGAAAAAUUGAAGGGAAAAUCUUGAGACAUUAAAGCUUUCAAGUGAGAAAGAAAGGAAACUGACAGAUUUGUCCAAUACUGUGAAAUAAAUACAAUAGUUCCAAAUUUGCCUUUGUUAGUUUGGUGUUUUCUAGCUUUUUGGACCAAAAAUUUCAUUAUUCCAAGGCAAAUGAAAAAGCAUUGUGUGUAGUUCAAACAUAUUAAAAGUAGCAGACUGAAGAUGCAUGCUAUAUUGUACUAGAUGGGACAAUUAUUUGAUUUACUGUACAUUUCAAAUUUAAAAUGCUCUUCCCCUGGUGCGACAUGGAAUCAUAGAUGUGUCUUAUGUAUUUUUCCAGUUUUGGUGGUACUAAAUUUAGAGUGUAUCUUAUUGAUGGCAUCUUGAUGGCAAGAAAAUGCAUUAUCAUUUUUAUUGUUAUUCAGCAUCAUGUAUUCUCUGUGAAAAUCAGGAUGUCAUUGCAAUUUGUAGUACUCUUCUUAAACUUCUUUUUUCCUUGUUGCGCUCCCUCCAUCUGUUACAUAUUGCUAAAUUUCUGUGCCAUAUGUAUAAAUUUGGCAUGUUGUGUUCACAUUUUCUGAGUACCAGCAUAGUGUAGUCAUUUGAGUAUUGGACUA